CGCGGCUGGGGCGGCGGCGGCGGUGGCGGCGGCGGCGCGGGCUGCGGGCCUCACCGCCCGGGCCCUCCGCGGCGGCCUCCCCGCCCGCGUCCCGGCCCGCGUCCCCGGCCGCCCGCCAGCCGCCGCCGCUUCCGUCUCGUCCUUCCUUCUGUUCCCGCCGCCGCCGCGCCUCAGCGCUAGGGGCGGCCCGAGCGCUUUGUGGACGCGCUCGGCGCUCACCUAGGACUGUCACCGGCUCCUUCGGGGCCCGCGGGAGCGCUCCCGAAAGACUCCGCGGGUGGUGGUGACGGUGUCGGGAUCCCGGUCCCCACCGGCCCCGAGAGCUACUCCUUCCCCGCGCCCCGCUCAGCGCGAAAGCUGCGGGAAGCUCCAGUCUAAGGCAACUGUCUAUAAGUUUCAAAGGAUUUUCUGCAUAUUGGAAAAGUCAUGUCUACUCUUCAGGGCUUCUGUUAGGAAGUUUAAUCUCUUAUUUUGAAGCCAAGCAACUAAAGUCACAUGGGAAUAUCUGACUCUCACUGACUAAAAUCAUGAAAUCUUCAGCUAAGAAGAAAUGGGGAAUGGGUUUUUAAAAGGAAAUGAAAAUUUUAAAAUGCUGUUUGGCAAGGGAUGCAGACAAAAUUUAAUUUAAAGGUAAGGAAAUAAGAAACAAGGAAGGCAAUCAUAGUUCACAGUGUAUUUCAUGAGAAAAGAGCAGGUUGAAUUAUGUGUCUUAGAAUUUCUGUGCACAGACAGAUAAAAACUAUUUACUUUUAAAUUCAGUAAGUGAUUGAAAUGAUGACAAAGUAUCUUUUUGUGUGGGUUAUAAUAAGCAAGUUUACUCCUUGUCACAUAAUUUAUAUUUACUUCACUAGUGAAGUGAUAUGAAAAUUAGAAGCUGGCCAAUCAUCCAAUAAGCUCUGUCAAAUAGUUUAGAUAAUAAACAAUUUCCCCCUCAGCAAUAGGUUGGUUUUAUUCCCAACUUCAGUUAUAAAGAUCACCACUUGGAUUUCCUACUUCAUUGAUCUGGUAUCAGCCAGAAUGACCCAUGAGUUAGCUAGAGUUGAAUGAAAGUGAA
ensembl:lncRNA